rfam:Schistosoma margrebowiei strain Zambia genome assembly, scaffold: SMRZ_contig0001083
AUCCAGCUGACGAGUCCGAAAUAGGAUGAAACGAGAGUGGUGGAU